CUUAACACAUGCAAGUCGAACGAUGAAGCCCAGCUUGCUGGGUGGAUUAGUGGCGAACGGGUGAGUAACACGUGAGCAACGUGCCCAUAACUCUGGGAUAACCUCCGGAAACGGUGGCUAAUACUGGAUAUCUAACACGAUCGCAUGGUCUGUGUUUGGAAAGAUUUUUUGGUUAUGGAUCGGCUCACGGCCUAUCAGCUUGUUGGUGAGGUAAUGGCUCACCAAGGCGACGACGGGUAGCCGGCCUGAGAGGGUGACCGGCCACACUGGGACUGAGACACGGCCCAGACUCCUACGGGAGGCAGCAGUGGGGAAUAUUGCACAAUGGGCGAAAGCCUGAUGCAGCAACGCCGCGUGAGGGAUGACGGCCUUCGGGUUGUAAACCUCUUUUAGUAGGGAAGAAGCGAAAGUGACGGUACCUGCAGAAAAAGCACCGGCUAACUACGUGCCAGCAGCCGCGGUAAUACGUAGGGUGCAAGCGUUGUCCGGAAUUAUUGGGCGUAAAGAGCUCGUAGGCGGUUUGUCGCGUCUGCUGUGAAAUCCCGAGGCUCAACCUCGGGUCUGCAGUGGGUACGGGCAGACUAGAGUGUGGUAGGGGAGAUUGGAAUUCCUGGUGUAGCGGUGGAAUGCGCAGAUAUCAGGAGGAACACCGAUGGCGAAGGCAGAUCUCUGGGCCAUUACUGACGCUGAGGAGCGAAAGCAUGGGGAGCGAACAGGAUUAGAUACCCUGGUAGUCCAUGCCGUAAACGUUGGGCGCUAGAUGUGGGGACCAUUCCACGGUUUCCGUGUCGUAGCUAACGCAUUAAGCGCCCCGCCUGGGGAGUACGGCCGCAAGGCUAAAACUCAAAGGAAUUGACGGGGGCCCGCACAAGCGGCGGAGCAUGCGGAUUAAUUCGAUGCAACGCGCAAGAACCUUACCAAGGCUUGACAUAUACCGGAAA
rnacentral:rRNA from 1 species